rnacentral:misc_RNA from 1 species
GUAGGUGAACCUGCGGAAGGAUCAUUACCGAGUUAGGGUCCUCUGGGCUCGACCUCCAACCCUUUGUCUACCUUACCAUAUGUUGCUUCGGCGGGUCCGUCCUGAAAAGGACCGCCGGAGGGUGGUUUCACCCUCUGGCCCGUACCCGUCGAUGGCCUCCCACUAAACUCUUGUCAAAUACGUGUCGUCUGAAGUACCAAAAUAAAUAACCAAAAACUUUCAACAACGGAUCUCUUGGUUCUGGCAUCGA